UACGUAGGCAGCGAGCGUUGUUCGGAGUUACUGGGCGUAAAGGGUGUGUAGGCGGUUGUUUAAGUUUGGUGUGAAAUCUCCCGGCUCAACUGGGAGGGUGCGCCGAAUACUGAAUGACUAGAGUGCGGGAGAGGUGAGUGGAAUUCCUGGUGUAGCGGUGAAAUGCGUAGAUAUCAGGAGGAACACCGGUGGUGUAGACGGCUCACUGGACCGUAACUGACGCUGAGGCGCGAAAGCCAGGGGAGCAAACGGG
rnacentral:rRNA from 1 species